ACUGGCAUCAGUUCAAUUCGAAUAUUUGAGUCAAGAACAACAAUUCAAAAUGCAAAUAUUCAACGUUGCUCUUUUUGUCGCAGUUGCUGUGUUCGUGGUUUUGGGUGGUACUCAAGCAGAACCAAUUCGCGACAUUCUUGGUACUAUCGGAGGCGACGUUAUAGACAAUUCACGUACAUGUGUACAUUGUCCGCCAAUCAGUAGCAUUACGCUUUAUCCACAUAAUGAUUUCAACGCCGGUCCCGAUUCACAACCA